rnacentral:misc_RNA from 1 species
GUGAGAAGUAUCUUUCUCGUGGUCAACUUAUGAGGGCAAAGAGACAUAGGAAUUUUUCAUAAUCCCACAGAUCAGAUUCGUUACUAUAUGCUCAUUUACUUAAUUUCUUUCAUUAAUAAACAGUCCCCACCUAACCUAUUUCCCAUACUUUCCUUAACCUCUACUUUUCUUUCAAGAAGACUCUACCUCUCUCCGACUUCCAUAGUUUCAAGAUUUUAUGAUCAAGCUACUUCAACAACACUAAGUGUGGUCUUCCAAUUUAAUAUUAUGGGUUUUGGAAUUUCCGAUGGUGUUUGUAACACCGGCCUCGGUCUAGGACUAAGCUGCCAUGACAAGCAACAAAACUGUUCUCAAUCCGAUCAUCAUCUUCAACAAAAGAAGAAGAGACUUUCCUUGAAAUAUGAUCACAUGUUCCCUUCUCUUACAUUAGGCCCUCCACAAGAGCCAUAUCCAUCGGCUAAUAAGGUAGAAGCAGAUUUGCAACCGCAGCCGCAGGCAUCGUCUCCUAGUGCAGCAUCCUCAUCUUCUAACUCACGUGUCAAGAAAGAGAGAGAGUUUGCUGGUGAAGAAGUAGAAGUGGAGAGAGUCUCUUCAAGGGUUAGUGAUGAAGAUGAAGAAGGAAGUCCCAGAAAGAAACUUAGACUUACCAAACAACAGUCGGCUACUUUGGAAGACAGCUUCAAAGAACACAGCACUCUCAAUCCUGUAUAUAUACCAUUUUUUCAUCAUCUUUAUAUUCUCUCUAGUAUUAUUGUAUCUAUGAUUUUAUAAGGGACAAUAUUUUUAUAUGUUCUUGACUUUGGUAUUUCUUUUCUUCAAUUAUAUAUAUUAGAAGCAAAAGCAAGCCUUGGCAGAACAGCUGAAUCUCAGGCCGCGUCAAGUAGAAGUGUGGUUCCAGAACAGAAGAGCCAGGUAAGAUAUAUAGCCAACCAAACUUUCUUAGUGGUUCUUGUGUUGUCCUUGUUUGAUAGCUAUUAAUAAACUUGAGUGUUUUCUUUAAUUAAUAAUCUUGAAAAAUUUUCUACUAAGUGUUUGAUCUAUAUGCACGAAAUAUUCUGUCCUCUUUAUUUGGGCAGGACUAAGCUGAAGCAAACUGAGGUAGAUUGUGAGGUACUAAAGAAAUGUUGCGAAACACUAACAGAAGAGAACAAGAGGCUACAAAAGGAGCUACAAGAGCUUAAAUCGUUGAAACUGGCUGCACCACUAUAUAUGCAGCUGCCUGCAGCCACCCUCACUAUGUGCCCUUCUUGUGAGAGGAUUAACAGUGGCGGGGACGCCUCUUCUACUAGCACUUUAACGGUUGGACCAAAGCCUCAUUUCUACAGUCCCUUCACCCACCCAUCUGCAGCUUGCUAGGCCAACCUAUAUAUAUGAGCCCUGAACACCAGUAUUAUUUUUAUUGAUGGCUUCAUGUGUCAUAUAAUGAUCAAGGACUAGAUACUUAAACUAAUUUUGUAGAGUCUCCUCCUUCCGUCCCUUUUCUCUCUAUCUCUCUAGCUCUUUUAUCUGUAUACAUGCUUGUAAAGUCUUAACAAAUUUCUGUUAAGGAAUUUAUUACUUAGUUAUUUGUAUGGGAACUUGUUCUUUAUCCUCUAAAUGAAUUACUUAAUUAUACUAUAUUCUUGUGUACAAAUGGAGAAUGCUGCUUUUCUUGACCAGUUUGUA